rnacentral:rRNA from 1 species
AUGAACGCUGGCGGCGUGCCUAAUACAUGCAAGUCGAGCGAACAGAUGAGGAGCUUGCUCCUCUGACGUUAGCGGCGGACGGGUGAGUAACACGUGGAUAACCUACCUAUAAGACUGGGAUAACUUCGGGAAACCGGAGCUAAUACCGGAUAAUAUAUUGAACCGCAUGGUUCAAUAGUGAAAGACGGUUUUGCUGUCACUUAUAGAUGGAUCCGCGCCGCAUUAGCUAGUUGGUAAGGUAACGGCUUACCAAGGCAACGAUGCGUAGCCGACCUGAGAGGGUGAUCGGCCACACUGGAACUGGGACACGGUCCAGACUCCUACGGGAGGCAGCAGUAGGGAAUCUUCCGCAAUGGGCGAAAGCCUGACGGAGCAACGCCGCGUGAGUGAUGAAGGUCUUCGGAUCGUAAAACUCUGUUAUUAGGGAAGAACAAAUGUGUAAGUAACUAUGCACGUCUUGACGGUACCUAAUCAGAAAGCCACGGCUAACUACGUG